UACAGAGGGGGCAAGCGUUCUUCGGAAUUACUGUGCGUAAAGGGCGCGUAGGCGGCCUUCUAAGUCGAACGUGAAAUCCCCGGGCUCAACCCGGGAACUGCGUCCGAUACUGGAAGGCUUGAAUCCGGGAGAGGGAUGCGGAAUUCCAGGUGUAGCGGUGAAAUGCGUAGAUAUCUGGAGGAACACCGGUGGCGAAGGCGGCAUCCUGGACCGGCAUUGACGCUGAGGCGCGAAAGCCAGGGGAGCAAACGGG
rnacentral:rRNA from 1 species